GGUGUGGGGUGGGAGGGGCUGGGCCCCCAGGGUGGAGUUGGCGGCCUCCCCUUCUUCUCUUGGUUUCCUUGUUUAUGAAAUGGGGCCAUCAACCAUCUCCCCCGGCCGAUGUCAGGUUGCAAGAGGUGGCGGAUGCCCACGAUGAACCCUCGUCGGUUCUCGUCGCCCACUGCGCUCUGUCCCACGCCCGCGCUGCUGCUUGUCUAGCGUUGGAGGUGAAGACGCUGAGGGUCUUCUAAGGGCGACGGUGCCUCAGCCUGUGCCCGUUGCCCUGUCCUCUAGGAAAGAGGGGCUCUGCUAUCUGGUGCACUCUGGGGUGGGGAGGUGGGGCCUGCCCUUGGGGGCCUACCCCUGAAAGGAGAAAGGGCCGCCAGAGCUCUCAAUGAUUGUGUCCUGAGAUGCUGGGCUACGUGUCUUAACCCAAAGAGUGGUUUUUCUGACCAAAUCAGGUCCUCAUGGAGCCACACAGGAGGGUUUUAUCCUAGAGAGGAAGGAGUGUAGUCAGAUUAUCCAGGUGAAAGGACCAGGGCCCGGGAUUCAGAUCCCAGCUCUUCCCAUCUUCACCCGUCCAGCAACACCUGCCCCUUCAGCCAAACACAGGUGUAAGCUGGGGGCAGGUGACACACGAGGGGACGUAAUUUAGCAGCAGAUGAGUGGUCGGUCCUGAGUCAGGAGUCAGGAGCUUAGAGGAGGGCAGGUCCCUAUGGACUGAGUCAGGGAAGGAUGCGUGCAGAAGGGCGGGAAUGAAGUGUGACCUUGAAGCGAGUGGGGGGACCCAAGGAGGAGAGGAUGGUGGAGGGAGAGCUCGCCCUUUCUCCGGAAGGUGGGGUGCCAUGGGGAUUCUGGGCGACUCUGGUUAGGUCUGAAUUCUUCUUAGCAGACAUCCCUCCCAUGAGAUGCUGUGUUGGAACUAAUGUUAUAGGGUGUUUGUCCUCCCAGCGCCCAUCCCACUGUCACCGGGAAUGAGUGACCGAGCCGUGGGGCAUUCUGGUGUUAAAAGUUUAAGGUGGAUCAUCAGUUGUAUUCGAUUCAGUCCAGUUAACAGUGAGCACCUGCAUGGGGCAGGCGCUGUUUCAGAUGCUUCAGGAGAGCCGUUCUUGACCUUAGAGUGCCCAUCUCAGGCAUGGGAGAUGGAUACCUACGCGGUCCGAGCCGUGGCCAACAUGCCGGAAGUCAGGCUAGUCACUGUUACAGACACGGUCCUGCUGGAGCUCAGAGAGGGAGCGGCUACCUCUGAUGGAUGAGGAAGUCAGAAAAAGCUUUCCAGCGGCUGACACAGAGUUUGCAGGGUAGAAAUGCCUUCCUGCAGGUCACAGCUCUGAAGGUGUUCGCUCCCAGUGACUAGUAAUUGCAUGGCACUGUGUGAGGAUGUUGGGCUCAGCAAAAUCUUCUUAGAGAUCCUCAUCGUGAAAAUAUGUUUUUUCCGCUUUAAUAGGUGAUGAGGUAAAAUGGUACUUCAUUUUAAUUUACAUUUCUUUGAAUACAAAUAAGAUUGACAAUC